GUAGGGUCCAAGCGUUAAUCGGAAUUACUGGGCGUAAAGCGUGCGCAGGCGGUUGUGCAAGACCGAUGUGAAAUCCCCGGGCUUAACCUGGGAAUUGCAUUGGUGACUGCACGGCUAGAGUGUGUCAGAGGGGGGUAGAAUUCCACGUGUAGCAGUGAAAUGCGUAGAGAUGUGGAGGAAUACCGAUGGCGAAGGCAGCCCCCCUGGGAUAACACUGACGCUCAUGCACGAAAGCGUGGGGGGAGCAAACAGGAUUAGAUACCCUGGUAGUCCACGCCCUAAACCGAUGUCAACUAGUUGUUGGGGAUUCAUUUCCUUAGUAACGUAGCUAACGCGUGAAGUUGACCGCCUGGGGAGUACGGUCGCAAGAUUA
rnacentral:rRNA from 1 species